GAUGAACGCUGGCGGCGUGCCUAAUACAUGCAAGUCGAGCGAAUGGAUUAAGAGCUUGCUCUUAUGAAGUUAGCGGCGGACGGGUGAGUAACACGUGGGUAACCUGCCCAUAAGCCUGGGAUAACUCCGGGAAACCGGGGCUAAUACCGGAUAAUAUUUUGAACUGCAUGGUUCAAAAUUGAAAGGCGGCUUCGGCUGUCACUUAUGGAUGGACCCGCGUCGCAUUAGCUAGUUGGUGAGGUAACGGCUCACCAAGGCAACGAUGCGUAGCCGACCUGAGAGGGUGAUCGGCCACACUGGGACUGAGACACGGCCCAGACUCCUACGGGAGGCAGCAGUAGGGAAUCUUCCGCAAUGGACGAAAGUCUGACGGAGCAACGCCGCGUGAGUGAUGAAGGCUUUCGGGUCGUAAAACUCUGUUGUUAGGGAAGAACAAGUGCUAGUUGAAUAAGCUGGCACCUUGACGGUACCUGCAGAAAAAGCACCGGCUAACUACGUGCCAGCCGCCGCCGUAA
rnacentral:rRNA from 1 species